UUAAUUGAAAAAAAUAUUACUAGGUGUACAAAUAAGUUUCCGGGUUUCACACAUGGAUGGCGCCAACGACACAUGUAGUCGACAUACAUGUCUGAAGUUGUUUAUUUUUUGUAGUUGCGACAUCUAACGACAAUAAUCAAUCAUAAUAUUUCCAGUUUCGCGACGAAAAAAAAUUUUUAUGCAACAGUGAAAAUGUCGGGUUUUGUGCCAAAAAAAACAGCAUUCGCGGGAAGUCUUGCUUUUCUGCUUUCACUUGGGCAAAAAUGCAGCUGAAGCACGUCGUUUGCUUGAGGAGGCUUACGGCGAACAUGCACCAUCGAAAAUAACCUGUGAAGAUUGGUUUAAACGCUUUAGAAGUGGCGAUUUCGACACUGCGGACAAAGAGCGCUCCGGAAGACC